AGGGUUCGAUUCUGGCUCAGGAUGAACGCUGGCGGCGUGCUUAACACAUGCAAGUCGAACGGAGCCUAGCGAGUGCUUGCACUUGCGAAAGCUAGUGGCGGACGGGUGAGUAACGCGUGGGUAACCUGCCCUGUACUGGGGGAUAACAGCCGGAAACGGCUGCUAAUACCGCAUAAGCCCACAUGGCCGCAUGGCCAAGGGGGAAAAAACUCCGGUGGUACAGGAUGGACCCGCGUCUGAUUAGCUAGUUGGUGAGGUAACGGCCCACCAAGGCGACGAUCAGUAGCCGGCCUGAGAGGGUGAACGGCCACAUUGGGACUGAGACACGGCCCAAACUCCUACGGGAGGCAGCAGUGGGGAAUAUUGCACAAUGGGGGAAACCCUGAUGCAGCCGACGCCGCGUGAGCGAUGAAGUAUUUCGGUAUGUAAAGCUCUAUCAGCAGGGAAGAAAAUGACGGUACCUGACUAAGAAGCACCGGCUAAAUACGUGCCAGCCGCGGC
rnacentral:rRNA from 1 species